UCCUACGGGAGGCAGCAGUGGGGAAUUUUGCGCAAUGGGGGAAACCCUGACGCAGCAACGCCGCGUGGAGGAUGAAGUACUUCGGUACGUAAACUCCUUUCGAUCGGGACGAUAAUGACGGUACCGGAAGAAGAAGCCCCGGCUAACUUCGUGCCAGCAGCCGCGGUAAUACGAGGGGGGCAAGCGUUGUUCGGAAUUAUUGGGCGUAAAGGGUGCGUAGGCGGUUUGGUAAGUCUCUUGUGAAAUCUAUGGGCUCAACUCAUAGACUGCAAGGGAAACUGCCGGGCUUGAGUAUGGGAGAGGUGAGUGGAAUUCCUGGUGUAGCGGUGAAAUGCGUAGAUAUCAGGAGGAACACCUGUGGCGAAAGCGGCUCACUGGACCAUAACUGACGCUGAUGCACGAAAGCUAGGGGAGCAAACAGGAUUAGAUACCCUGGUAGUCCUAGCCCUAAACGAUGACUGCUUGGUGUGGCGGGUACCCAAUCCCGCCGUGCCGUAGCUAACGCGUUAAGCAGUCCGCCUGGGGAGUACGGUCGCAAGGCUGAAACUCAAAUGAAUUGACGGA
rnacentral:rRNA from 1 species